GUUCUAUUGCAUAUUAACUUAGUAUUUCGCACACUUGGAAUAUGGAUUUUGGUGCUCAUGCCCGACUAUUGAUCUUGUUGGUAAUUUCAUUACUGGUGCUGUUGCAAGCUGUCGAUAUGGUUGCAUGCCAAAAAGGAAGAAGAAUAGGGGGCAGAGGAGGGAGAGGAGGAGAAUUAGGAGAAGGCUUCGUGGAACAGCUGGAGAAUAAAAUCCUUGAAGAAUAAUGAGCUGUUUUGCCUGAAGAUCAGAAUAUGCAUGGAAAUAUAUUGUGUAUAACAUUAUUUGAAAUGUAUCUGAGAGGCAAUAAAUAAAAGUUGUAUCGAAAUAAA